rnacentral:rRNA from 1 species
CCUACGGGUGACAGCAGUGGGGAAUAUUGGGCAAUGGGCGAAAGCCUGACCCAGCAACGCCGCGUGAAGGAAGAAGGCUUUCGGGUUGUAAACUUCUUUUGACAGGGAAGAGCAGAAGACGGUACCUGUCGAAUAAGCCACGGCUAACUACGUGCCAGCAGCCGCGGUAAUACGUAGGUGGCAAGCGUUGUCCGGAUUUACUGGGUGUAAAGGGCGUGUAGCCGGGCUGACAAGUCAGAUGUGAAAUCCGGGGGCUCAACCGCGGAACUGCAUUUGAAACUGUUUUUCUUGAGUACCGGAGAGGUCAUCGGAAUUCCUUGUGUAGCGGUGAAAUGCGUAGAUAUUAGGAGGAACACCAGUGGCGAAGGCGGCCUGCUGGGCUUUUACUGACGCUGAGGCUCGAAAGUGUGGGGAGCAAACAGGAUUAGAUACCCCGGUAGUC